rnacentral:rRNA from 1 species
GUUGAACGCUGGCGGCGUGCCUAAUACAUGCAAGUCGAGCGAACAGAUAAGGAGCUUGCUCCUUUUACGUUAGCGGCGGACGGGUGAGUAACACGUGGGUAACCUACCUAUAAGACUGGAAUAACUCCGGGAAACCGGAGCUAAUGCCGGAUAACAUUUAGAACCGCAUGGUUCUAAAGUGAAAGAUGGUUUUGCUAUCACUUAUAGAUGGACCCGCGCCGUAUUAGCUAGUUGGUAGGGUAACGGCUUACCAAGGCAACGAUACGUAGCCGACCUGAGAGAGUGAUCGGCCAAACUGAAACGGAGACACGGCCCAGACUCCUACGGGAGGCAGCAGUGGGAAAUCUUCCGCAAUGGGCGAAAGCCUGACGGGGCAAGGCCGCGUGAGUGAUAAGGGUCUUCGGUUCGUAAAACUCUGUUAUUAGGGAAGAACAAAGGUGUAAGUAACUGUGCAGGUCUUGACGGUACCUAAGAAGAAAGCCACGGCUAACUACGU